rnacentral:rRNA from 1 species
UACAGAGGGGGCAAGCGUUGUUCGGAACUACUGGGCGUAAAGGGCGCGUAGGCGGCCUUCUAAGUCGAACGUGAAAUCCCCGGGCUCAACCCGGGAACUGCGUCCGAUACUGGAAGGCUUGAAUCCGGGAGAGGGAUGUGGAAUUCCAGGUGUAGCGGUGAAAUGCGUAGAUAUCUGGAGGAACACCGGUGGCGAAGGCGGCAUCCUGGACCGGUAUUGACGCUGAGGCGCGAAAGCCAGGGGAGCAAACGGG